AUAGGGAUCCUGGGGGCUUCUCCACACUGGGAAGGGGAGAGUUCUUGCUCCAGAGGUCUAGUGCCCCCCUUGGAGGAAUGCUCGAUCCCCAGGACAGCAGAGCAGGAGGAACCAGCUGGAGACGCUGCUGCAGAGCAGAUAAUUAAAGAGAUUGGAAAGAAAAAGCAGCUUUGGCGAAGAAUGAACACGCACACAAGCCCAGCCCAUCGCCCGCCGAGGAGCUGCUAAUAAAAUCUCAUCUCUUGGUGAAUCGUCCGGGAUGAGCAGAGCACAUCUGAAAAUCCCGGCACAUAAAAGAGCCUUUUGACCAAAAGAGAAAACACCCGCGUUUGAAACACUGCAGAACCAACGACUCUCAUUAGCAUCCGCCUUUCUUCUGGAAUGGUCCUCGGGAGCGAUGUGAGCAGAUUUAACACUGUGUGGAUCAAAGGAACUCAACAGAACAGCCCUCGUGCCGAAGUCUUGGUGUCACAGCUCCAUUCUUGCCAACAGCACCACGUGUGCUGCUUCUCCCUCUCCCACCAUCUUCCUUUCAGCUGAGCUGGGAAUUCAGGCAAAGGUUGUUAAAUCCCUCCCUGUUGCCUCUGACCUUGCUCCAGUUUUACUUCUCUGUGGGAUUUAAUGGAGCUUUUGCCUAAAGGGGAAAAGGGGUGGAUGAGGGGCUGGAGAGAGGUGUGAUCCAUCAGCCAGGUGAGCCUUCCCUCGCUCUGGGAGUUCACCUGCCUGUCUCCUUGUCCUGGAUUUAUUUGUUCCCCUCCUGCUCUCACUUGCCAGGCAGAGGCACCAGCAGGGACUGUGUUUGUGUCUCUCUGCAUCUCCCCCUCCUGAUGUUCCAUUUCUGAAUUAGCAUUUAAAUUAAGAGGGAAAGUGCAGGUGGGAGCUGAAGCCGUUUCCAGCACAGCAGCAUCCCAUGGGAAUGCUGCCUCCUGUCUCCCGAGGUGCAGGAGCCCGGACACAUCCCCAGCCCAGCCCAGCUGAGGGUUUGCCAAGGGCAGCCUGGGUUAGUUCUGCUCCCGAGCACCUCGGGGUUCAGACCCACAGGGCAGGUGUGGAAAA